GCUUCUUUCCUGUUGGGGGUGGUAGAAGAACUUGUACCAGCUGCUUGCUGAGAAAUGACACCAUACUUUGAUGCAGCAGCGGUAGACUUGGCUGCAGCUCGCUUGGCAGCCACGGCCUCUUCAGGUGUGGUAGCGGUUUCAGCCUUCUUGGUGAUCAUCUUACCAUCAGCAGUGUGCAUAGCUGCCAAGUCAGUGGUGGCUUCUUUCCUAUUGGGGGCGGUAGAAGAACUUGUACCAGCUGCUUUCCGAGAGAUGGCACCAUACUUUAAUGAAUCGUCAACAGACUUUGUUGCGUCUCGCUUGGCAGCCACGACCUUUUCAGGUGUCGUGGCGGUUUCAGCCUUCUUGAUGGACUUCUCGGUGGCAGCAUAGUGUGCGGCAGCUAAAGUACCGGCUGCUUCUUUCCUGCCUGGGGAGAUAGAAGAACCUUUACCAUUUGCCUGCUGAGAGAUGGCAUUGUACUUUAAUACAGCAGAAGCAGAUUUUGCUCC
rnacentral:lncRNA from 1 species